rnacentral:rRNA from 1 species
UAACGAAUCUUCCGCAAUGCCCGCAAGGGUGACGGAGCGACGCCGCGUGUGGGACGAAGUCCUUCGGGAUGUAAACCACUGUCAGGGGCUACCAAGUUCUGAGGGGCCCCAGAGGAAGGCACGGCUAACUCUGUGCUAGCAGCCGCGGUAAGACAGAGGUGCCGAGCGUUAGGCGGAAUCACUGGGCUUAAAGCGUGUGUAGGCGGACCGUUAAGUACCUUGUGAAAUCCCACGGCUCAACCGUGGAACCGCUGGGUAUACUGGCGGUCUUGAGGCACUCAGGGGCUGUCGGAACGAGCGGUGGAGCGGUGAAAUGCGUAGAUAUCGCUUGGAACGCCGGCGGUGAAAACGGCAGCUGGGAGUGUGCUGACGCUGAGACACGAAAGCCAGGGGAGCGAACGGGAUUAGAUACCCCGGUAGUCCUGGCCGUAAACGAUGCCGACUAGGUCGCGGGCGCCCCUGACGGGCGUUCGCGGCCGCAGCAAAAGUGCUAAGUCGGCCG